rnacentral:rRNA from 1 species
GUGUCAGCAGCCGCGGUAAUACGUAGGGUCCGAGCGUUGUCCGGAAUUACUGGGCGUAAAGAGCUCGUAGGUGGUUUGUCGCGUUGUUCGUGAAAACUCACAGCUCAACUGUGGGCGUGCGGGCGAUACGGGCAGACUUGAGUACUGCAGGGGAGACUGGAAUUCCUGGUGUAGCGGUGGAAUGCGCAGAUAUCAGGAGGAACACCGGUGGCGAAGGCGGGUCUCUGGGCAGUAACUGACGCUGAGGAGCGAAAGCGUGGGGAGCGAACAGGAUUAGAUACCCCCGUAGUCC